AUUGAACGCUGGCGGCAUGCCUUACACAUGCAAGUCGAACGGUAACAGGUCUUCGGAUGCUGACGAGUGGCGAACGGGUGAGUAAUACAUCGGAACGUGCCCGAGAGUGGGGGAUAACGAGGCGAAAGCUUUGCUAAUACCGCAUACGAUCUCAGGAUGAAAGCAGGGGACCGCAAGGCCUUGCGCUCACGGAGCGGCCGAUGGCAGAUUAGGUAGUUGGUGGGAUAGAAGCUUACCAAGCCGACGAUCUGUAGCUGGUCUGAGAGGACGACCAGCCACACUGGGACUGAGACACGGCCCAGACUCCUACGGGAGGCAGCAGUGGGGAAUUUUGGACAAUGGGCGCAAGCCUGAUCCAGCCAUGCCGCGUGCAGGAUGAAGGCCUUCGGGUUGUAAACUGCUUUUGUACGGAACGAAAAGACUCCUUCUAAUAAAGGGGGUCCAUGACGGUACCGUAAGAAUAAGCACCGGCUAACUACGUGCCAGCCGCCGCCGUAAAAC
rnacentral:rRNA from 1 species